AGGGCCGCGGUAUUUUGACCGUGCGAAGGUAGCAUAAUCAAUAGCCUUUUAAUUUGGGGCUGGAAUGAAUGGUUGGAUGAGGUACAAGCUGUCUCUGGUUUUAAAUAUAAUUUAACUUUUAAGUGAAAAGGCUUAAAUUGUGUAGUGGGACGAUAAGACCCUAUAAAACUUUAUAUGGGGGAAUUUAAUUUAAAAAUUUAGUUUAACUUUAAUUAUGAGAAAUUAUAUUUUGUUGGGGAGACAGGAAUAUAAUUAUUAACUGUUCAUGGAAUUUAAUAUAUAUUGGUAGGAUAUGAUCCUUUUUUAUGGAUUAGAAGAAUAAGUUACUUUAGGGAUAACAGUGUAAUUUCUUUUGAGAGUUCUUAUCGACAAAGUUAGUUGCAACCUCGAUGUUGAAUUAAAAUUUUAGGGAGGUGUAGCAGCUUCUCUUUUGGGUCUGUUCGACCCUUAAAAUUUU
rnacentral:rRNA from 1 species